rnacentral:rRNA from 1 species
GACAAACUAGGUCAAAUUAAGAUUUACACAGUAAAAAAGGGGGUUAGAGAAUAAAACCUAUAUGUAAAAGAAAAAUUAGGUUUUUUAUAGAAGUGGAAUUUGUAUAAAAAAAUUAAUUUAUUAUUUUCUUGUUUCUUGAAGCUCCGAAAUCUCAUUUAAAGACCGGGAUUAGAUACCCCGUUAUUUGAGCUAUAAAAUUUAAUUUAAUCAAAAUUUACUUGAGUAUUACGGGUUCUAUAAACUUAAAGUUUAUUUGGAUAGUCUAAAACUCAAAAGACUUGGCGGUGCCUUAAAUCCUUUCAGGGGAACCUGUCCUGUAAUCGAUAAUCCACGGUUUACCUUUCCUUUUUUUGAAUAUAUUAAUAAUCAGUCUGUAUACCGUCGUCGUCAGAUUACCUUUAAAAGUAAAAAAGUUAUCAGAAAGAUCAAUAUAGCUAUAGAAUAUCAUGUUAGUUAUAUUUUCUAGACGUCAGAUCAAGGUGCAACUUAUAAAAAGGAAGAGAUGGGUUACAAUAAUAAAUUAUUAUACGAAUUUUUUGUUGCAAAACAAAUUUAAAGGCGGACUUGAAAGUAAUAGAAAGAAAUAGAGAGUCUUAAUGAAGGUGGCUCUAAGGCGUGU